GAUGGCGACCGGCGCACGGGUGAGUAACACGUAUCCAACCUGCCGAUGACUCGGGGAUAGCCUUUCGAAAGAAAGAUUAAUACCCGAUGGCAUAGUUCUUCCGCAUGGUAGAACUAUUAAAGAAUUUCGGUCAUCGAUGGGGAUGCGUUCCAUUAGGUUGUUGGCGGGGUAACGGCCCACCAAGCCUUCGAUGGAUAGGGGUUCUGAGAGGAAGGUCCCCCACAUUGGAACUGAGACACGGUCCAAACUCCUACGGGAGGCAGCAGUGAGGAAUAUUGGUCAAUGGACGAGAGUCUGAACCAGCCAAGUAGCGUGAAGGAUGACUGCCCUAUGGGUUGUAAACUUCUUUUAUACGGGAAUAAAGUGAGGCACGUGUGCCUUUUUGUAUGUACCGUAUGAAUAAGGAUCGGCUAACUCCGUGCCAGCAGCCGCGGUAAUACGGAGGAUCCGAGCGUUAUCCGGAUUUAUUGGGUUUAAAGGGAGCGUAGGCGGACGCUUAAGUCAGUUGUGAAAGUUUGCGGCUCAACCGUAAAAUUGCAGUUGAUACUGGGUGUCUUGAGUACAGUAGAGGCAGGCGGAAUUCGUGGUGUAGCGGUGAAAUGCUUAGAUAUCACGAAGAACUCCGAUU
rnacentral:rRNA from 1 species